rfam:TPA: Bos taurus chromosome 23, whole genome shotgun sequence.
AAAAAGGCUCUUUUCAGAGCCACCUACUUUGUCGAUAAGAACUAUU